UCAUUGGUGUUGCCUUCUGGUGAAAUAACUUUUCAACAAUAAAAGUUAGGGGCUGCCAAAGCUUUUUGGAAAAAGGCACUUGCAGACUCCAGCCAGUGUGAAAUGGGCCCCCGGUGAGAUGGGUGCUGGGGCAGUCGGUGGUGGGAACGUGCCACCGGUUGUAACGGUUCGGACAGUGAGCCAGAAAUCAAUGUUGUGCAGGACAGAUAAGGGAGAAAAGCAGCAUCGAUUCCCCUCCCGUCCAGAGACGCCCUGGUCGUCUGCACCGUUCAGCCCCUGCGGCUGAGAGGGCCUGGAAGUGCGGCAUGGAGUAAACUUCGAGGGGGGUGGGAAAAAAAAAAAUCGCAAGUCUGCCGAGUCGUAAUUACAGCCGUGACAGAGGCAGCAAACUGCAGACUUCAAGGGACAACACCAGGGUUGCAAAGGAAAUGUUUAAUGUGGAGCAGCUACGCGCGGGCUAUUAGUGGAACGGGGAGAUGACUCGAGCGCUCUGGCUAAUGUACAGGACAUGUAAGUACAGGCGGAGCAGGGAAAAGCAAGCGCGUAAAGAUGCCAUCUCUGUCCUUAGCGGACCAGCACUGCGUGCAUUUUGACUCGGGCCUAAUUUGCCUUUGUGACGAAAACGAGCUGCAACCCUGUGGAGCCGAUGCAGCGAGGGGAGAGGGGACCCGGCGGCACGUUUGGUGGACGCGACACUAACUGCACCGUGGCGCAGGGAGAGGAAGAGCCCAGCUGGACGUGCACAAGCGGCUCAGCUCACACGCGACAGUCGUAGCUGUUCACGUCGCGUGCUUAUCCGGAGCACAUCUCCCUGCAAUGCGACGCAGGCAACAGGCAGUCCCUGCAGCCCCGGUCCCAGUCAGUUGGAGCAGGUUAAUAUUCCUCCCUAAAGCCACCUAUUUUAAUACACCCAUUGCCUUGUCUUUCUUUUCUCUUUUACUGUCAGUUGAGCAUAACGGUGACCUCAUUGCAGACUCCCAGCCCAGGGUAAUCUGGGAUGUAUCACAGGUCGUCCCCUGCAGUCAUUACUGCUGGAGAAGGGCUCUCUGCGCAGGGUGCCAAAGUCCAUACUUGGAGGCCAAGGUACGAGGAGCCUGAUUUCCCGAAACGUUCAGCACUUCGAAGUCCGGCUGGGUUGGAUGGGAACUGCGGGUGUUCGGCACCUCUGAAGCCAGACCGAGUCUGUGUCCCUGCCCCAACGGGGAUUUGCGGUCCUGACCUGACACGCGCACCCUGGGUAGACCACGUGUGUCUCAGCUGUGAUGUGGUAGUGGCGUUUGACCGGGCCUCUUAGUCUCCAUAGUAUUGUUUCACCUACCUGAAUGGAUCAGUGAAGUAUUUUUAAACAAGCAAAUAAUGAAGGACCCAGUUCUCGCCCCCUCCCGUGACUGCCCUUGGCUGAGUGUGUAGGAGGCCAUCAGGGCGAAGGACAAGGAGGAACGCAAAUCUGUAGUGAAGAAUAAAAAAGACAGCCAAAAAGCCAUAAUGAACGGCAUCUAAAUGAGGGUCUGUGAGCACGGCUUUUGUCCCGUUCCCCCAGCUCUACCAGCAGGCCGCGAAGGUUUCUGGUGGAGAGUUUAAUUUCCCUACAGAUGCAAGAGGCAUUCACUCCCCCUUUCUAAAAUUAUUCAGAUACCUUAUAAAUAUUGCAGCACAUUGCUUUAUUUAUAAGAGCCCGGCACUGAUUUAUAACCUUUAGUGACAAAUAAAUCCACUCGGCUC